rnacentral:lncRNA from 1 species
AUUGAAAACAAUUUUGAGAAAAAGGGGUAAGAAUUUGGGUUCCGGGGGUGUUUUUGAAAGAAAAAUCAGAAACUAAGGGUCAAAACGUAAUUUACGAAAAAUGUGCCACUUAGGACUGCCCAGUCAGCAGCCUCGACAAAUCGAAGCGCGCUGUGUGGCAAGGCAUGCUAAUAUUGCGCCACACAAGAGGCCACACUGGCAAUCUGCGUGCCCGCGAUCGGACGGUUAGAAUCCGUUCCUCCAUCAGGUGUGAUCGUACGAUCCAGAUUAAAUCGCGAUGAACGGUCCAUAUUCAUUUCUUAUUUAAACGUGAUCGGACAGUCCAGAUCAAACGUGAUGGAUGAUCCAGAUUAAAAGAAUACGGAUAUAAAUAUCUCACUUCACACCAAAUCCUAACCUUAGCUGCCAACACCCCCUCCCCUCGCCAGAGAAGAAGAACCAAUUGCCGAGAAGGGAGCUGACUAAUACCGGUCACCAUGUCGGAGCCACCUUUGACC